UAGGGAAUAUUGCACAAUGGAGGAAACUCUGAUGCAGCGACGCCGCGUGAGUGAUGAAGGACUUCGGUUCGUAAAGCUCUGUCGUAUGGGAAUAAUAAAGUGAAUGUACCAUGCAAGAAAGGAUCGGCUAACUUCGUGCCAGCAGCCGCGGUAAGACGAGGGAUCCUAGCGUUGUUCGGAAUCAUUGGGCGUAAAGCGGAUGUAGGUGGCUUUGUAAGUCAGGUGUGAAAGCCCCGGGCUCAACCCGGGAAGUGCAUUUGAUACUGCGAAGCUUGAGUGCUGGAGAGGCUACUAGAAUACCUGGUGUAGUGGUGAAAUACGUAGAUAUCAGGUGGAAUACCGGAGGCGAAGGCGGGUAGCCAGCCAGACACUGACACUCAGAUCCGAAAGUGUGGGGAUCAAACA
rnacentral:rRNA from 1 species